rnacentral:rRNA from 1 species
UUUUAAGCAUAUCACUCAGUGGAGGAAUCCCAAGCAACCGCGAUUGCUACAGUAACGGCGAGUGAACUGGCAAGGCUUCAUGGCUCGACCCGAAGGGGACUGCGAUCAACCCCGCCACUGCUUCGGCAGGGAGCGGCCGGCUGCUGAUUUGUCUCGGAAGGCUGUGGGUUACGGAGCGGAUGGCGAGUCUGUGAGCGGGAUGCGAUGCCUGGAAUGGCCCUGGAAUGGCUUACGACGCAGGGCUACCGUCCCGUACAACCGGCAGAGCGUGUCGCGUCCCCUCACGGCUUGCUGUCUGUAUCCACGAGUAGAGCGGCUUGGGACUGCAGUUUGAAGCGCGGGGUGUAUCCCCCGCAAGGAGCAAUACCACCGUGGGACCGAUAGCGCACAAGUAGAGUGAUUGAAGGAUGCAAAGAACUUUGCAAAGAGGGUUCAAAGUCCCUGAAGCCUCGGCAGGAACGGCGGUGUGCGGGGCCGUGGACCCCUGAUCCACGAGUGAUGUGUCCCAAGCGGCCUCGGGCCGGCCCGGUGCGAGCCAUUGAGCCCAUCCCCCCGGGGGUGGAUGCAGUCGUGGUGGCACCGCGGUGGCAGUCCGCCUGUCAGGGCCCGAGGCUAUGCUUUCCGUAUGGAGAAGUCUGUGACCCGAUCCCCGUGUCCCCCCCGCGGGGCCGGGGAGRAGGCGAAGUCGAUGCUGUGCAACGAACCCUGGCGCGUCUUCGGGCGAGCCAGUCACCGUCACCCGGUCACGGCGGGGCCGGCGCGGGCCGGGGUCUGCACCCACUCGCUGGGUGGACCCCGACCCGAAGCUGCGUGCUCCCCGGACGGCGUGCGGUGAAGUCCAAGGCAGCCGAGCUUGGUGACAGCGGCACCGCUCUCUGCCCGUCUUGAAACACGGACCAAGGAGUCUAUGGAGCUUGCGGGCCGGCCGGUGUUGAGCAUGGCAACCCGGUCCAAGGCCACGGUGAAAGCAACACAGCCCCGAUGUGCGCAUACUGCAAGGGCCACCGGUCCCGAUGUCCAGUGGACUGGGUUUUGAGUGAAUGCAAGGUCCAUGGGACCCGAAAGGUGGUGAACUAUACCGUUCCACGACGAAGCCAUGGGAAACCGUGGUGGAGGUCGGUCGCUGUUCUGACGUGCAAAUUGUGUAGCCCGAGCGCGGCAUGGGGGUGAAAGGCCAAUCGAACCACCUAGUAGCUGGUUUCCCUCGAAGUUUCCCUCAGGAUAGCUGGGCCCGGAGUGCAACCCGGCCGAGUGGUUCCGUCCGGUAAAGCAACGCAUGAGAGGCUUCCGCGGGGGACUCUUGUCCCUCGACCUAUUCUCGAACUGUGAAUGGGCGUGGCAAACCCAAACCGACAAAGGCGUGCUUCUUCACCCGGUCCGGAGUCCGGGGGUGUCCCCCUCGGUCCUCCUGGAAUUGUGAGCGUGUUCGUGGCGGCCCGAGUCUGUGUGCAACGUCCCGAGGCGCGGUGCCCCGGGCGGCGCGGUGCGCGUGUCCCCCCCGCGGGGCCGUGCUAUGCGACCGCCUCAACGGCCCGCCCUCCAAGUCCCUAGGUGCAUUGCGAUGUGACCCGACUGGAUUCGAUGUGCGCAUAGCUGCCGCCGUGGUGAACAAGGCGGGCCUACGUGGGCCAAGAUUGGUAAGCAGUGCUGGCGAUGCGGGGUGCUCCGAGAGUGGACUUCCAGAACCCGAGUGCUGACUCAUACUCAGAUCCCACAAAGGGUGUCGUCUGCUAUGGAUAGCAGGUCGGUGGCCAUGAAGGUUGGAACCCGCUAAGGAAUGUGUAACAACUCACCUGCCGAAGUGUGCGGUCCCGAAAAUGGAUGGUGCCCAAGUCAGUGAAGCCGAAUUCGCCUCACAGUCCGCCGCCGCUGUGGCAGCGCUGAGAGCAGAGCAUCGUUGUGUAGAAAGGACGCGGGGAUUGCGGCGCCCGCCGGGGGUGACCCCGGCCGGAGCGAUCCCCGGCGCAGAUCUUGGUUGUAGUAGCGAGUACUCCAUCUGACAAGGGGCGGAAAGCCCGCCGUGCGUGGUUGAGGACUGGAGUGGAGAAGGUUUCCGCACCAAACAGCCGUUGAAUGCGGGUCAACCGACCGUGAGCCAAGUGGUAAGUCACCGAACAACCAAAGCCGCCGAUCAUCACCUCCCUGCCGUAGUCCCUUGGGGGUUGAGACCCCGGCGCGGUCGCUCCACGGAGCCAAGGCCCCCGACCGCCCGGCCCCUCGGGAGCGGUAUGUCCCUGGCGGGAGUGGCGAACAGGCAAGCGCGGGUUGCAACAUUCCGCUGUGUCGGGCCCGGGGCCCAWGAGCUAUGCUAUCCGAACGGUGGUGACGCCGAGUGACCAGAGCAAGCAGGCUGCGGGGCGGUGCACCCCCCGGGGAGUUCUCGUUUCCUCCUGAUGCGAUCCAUGUGGGCUAGCAAACCCGGCGUGCCAGAUGGUGACCUACGCCCCCCGUCCAGCAAGGCAGAGCACCUCGUGUGCGCUGGGGGACUUCUCCGGAUGGACAGACCCAAGACCCCGGACUCCGGUGGUCACCGGCUCCACUGAACCGCCUGCGGGGACACCGUGCCCCUGGUCCCUUGACGUCGUACCGAAUCACCGCAGCCGGUCUCCCCGGCUUGACGCCGCUGGUCGAACGGAUUGAAUGCAGCUAAGGGAAGUCGGCAAACUAGCCGUGUACCUUCGGAAGAUGCGGUGGCUCCAGAGUCCAAGAUGCCGGGCCUYGCCCGCGGACGGUCGCUCCCGGUGGGGGACCCGGCUGUGCUCCCGCCCGGCUUCGGCUGGGAUCCGGGGUGCGGUCGGCCCUCGCCGGGCGCCGGCUCGCGGGRAGGGGACUUCGGUCCCACCCCGGUGUCUAUGCGAGUGGACACCAUGGAACUGUUGCUGUGCAGGGGAAUCUGACUGUUUAAUUGAAACCCAGCUUUGUGACGGGUCCGGCUGGCCGGUCCCAUGAGGUGACUUCUGCCCAGUGCUCUGAUUGUCAUGGCGAAGAGAUCCAGCCAAGCGCGGGUAAACGGCGGGAGUAACUAUGACUCUCUUAAGGUAGCCAAAUGCCUCGUCAACCAAUUAUUGACGCGCAUGAAUGGAUCAACGAGAUUCCUGCUGUCCCUAGGUGCUGUCCGGUGAACCCACAGCCAAGGGAACGGGCUUGGAUGUGCCAGCGGGGAAAGAAGAGCCUGUUGAGA